rnacentral:misc_RNA from 1 species
GAUGAAGAACGUAGCGAAAUGCGAAAAGUAAUGUGAAUUGCAGAAUUCAGUGAACCAUCGAAUCUUUGAACGCACAUUGCGCCCGCUGGAACUCCGGCGGGCACGCCUGUCCGAGCGUCAUUUCAACCCUCAGGCCCCCUUCGCGGGCGGGCCUGGUGUUGGGGCCCGGCCGCUACCCUGCGGCCGUCCCCUAAAUCCAGUGGCGGCCUCGCCGUGAUCCCUUGCGUAGUAAUGCACCUCGCACCGGAGAGCGCCGUGGCCACGCCGUAAAACCCCCAAUUUUCAAUGGUUGACCUCGGAUCAGGUGGGAAUACCCGCUGAACUUAAGCAUAUCAAUAAGCGGAGGA